ACCCUGACUUCUCCAUCAGGCUCUAUCAACAUGUCUACGGUGAGGUUGGUGACACUGUCUGCAGACUACUUCAGUGUGGACAUGCGAAACAAAUGAAGCACACCCAGAACUGCUGACUUGAGUUACAAUAGGGAGUUUGCUGAUUGAUGAAGAAGCACAGAGCUGGAUCUGGAAAGAGAACUCAUUGGCUCCUGUAACCAGACCACAGCCCAGAGAGCAGACACUUGAGGAAUCUACAGCCAACCGAGGAACAAAACGUGCCUGACGAUCUUGCCUGACGACCUAGUCACAAAGCUGGGAUAAAAGGUGUGCACCACCAUGGCCAAGUAUUUCCAGAUUUCCAGAAUGUUCCAUCUUGCCCCAAGUAAGUACUUGAGCACGACUGUCCCACUCCACAUCAAAGGACGACACUGGUGAUGCAAACUGCUUCUUGGCAACGAGAAGACUAGUUCUUCUAGCACUGGCUUUUCUUUUGGCGCAACCACAGAAAUUAAGAAUGCAGCCAAAGGUGGCUGAGACAAACUGGAUUGCCUACCUGGAAGGCCUCCACUGUAGGAGCCUGUCACAUGAUGUUGAUUGCCCGGUGGUUGACUCUAAGCUCCUCCUUUCUUUAAGCACUCUCCUUUACAGUGGUACUCAAAGCAGAGGCGUUGAAGAUGGCUCCUUCACUUCCAACCACUUGCUUAGCCAUCCACAUAAGUAAGAUGGUCUGAUGCAGUAGUUCCCCGUCUUUUUCCCAUUUGGAACCGUAACUGGUGAUGUGGAACACAUCACAUCCUACCAGUGGCUCACAUUGUUAUAACAGCUGUACUAGUAACUCCAUCCCUUCUCUUCUCUCAAGAAAGCAUGUUGGGUAGAAGCUGAGCAAGACAGACAUUAUUACAGAGGCAACCUGGAACUACUCCCACUGGUUACAAAAAGCAUGGACAUUCCAAUAGUUAAAAAUAAAAAGCUCCACAUGACAGACCUCACAGAUGACUGUGAAGGAUCUGUUUCCAAACAGACUCACUGACAAAAGAUGGCACUUUCUGUUGUUCCAGCUAAAACUCAUGAAUCUCAGAUUAUGUUCAGAGGCUCUGAGGGCACAGAGACCAUUUCAGGGGCUCUCCAAGGUCAAAACUGUUUUCACAAUUAUUUUGAGAAGUUAUUUGCCUUUUUAAAGGCAAUCCGAUCUACUCCUGAGAGAAUGUUGAGCACCAAAGACACUCCACCUGGAUCCUU